CAGCAGCCGCGGUAAACGUAGGAGUCAAGCGUUAUCCGAAUUUACUGGGCGUAAAGCGCGUGUAGGCGGUGCGGUUAGUUGGAUGUGAAAGCUCCCGGCUCAACUGGGAGAGGUCGUUCAAUACUGCCGCACUAGAGGACGGUAGAGGAAAGUGGAAUUCCCGGU
rnacentral:rRNA from 1 species